rnacentral:tRNA from 1 species
GUUUCUGUAGUUGAAUAACAACAAUGGUUUUUCAUGCCAUAGGUUAUGGUUAAAGUCCAUGUGGAAAUG